rnacentral:rRNA from 1 species
AAUCAACGCUGGCGGCGUGCCUCAGACAUGCAAGUCGAACGAUUAAAGCUCUCUUCGGAGAGUGCAUAGAGUGGCGCACGGGUGAGUAACACGUAAGUAAUCUACCUUCGAGUGGGGAAUAACGUCCGGAAACGGACGCUAAUACCGCAUAAUGCAGCGGCAUCGUAAGAUGACAGUUGUUAAAGAUUUAUCGCUUGAAGAGGAGCUUGCGGCAGAUUAGCUAGUUGGUGAGGUAAAGGCUCACCAAGGCGACGAUCCUUAGCUGGUCUGAGAGGAUGAUCAGCCACACUGGGACUGAGACACGGCCCAGACUCCUACGGGAGGCAGCAGUGGGGAAUAUUGGACAAUGGGCGAAAGCCUGAUCCAGCAAUGCCGCGUGAGUGAUGAAGGCCUUAGGGUUGUAAAGCUCUUUACCCGGGAUGAUAAUGACAGUACCGGGAGAAUAAGCUCCGGCUAACUCCGUGCCAGCAGCCGCGGUAAU